GACUACUGGGGUAUCUAAGCCCAUUCGCUACCUACGCUUUCGUGAUUGAGCGUCAGAAAUGUGCCAGUGAAUUGCCUUCGCAUUUGGUGUUCCCCAUAAUAUCAACGGAUUUCACCCCUACACUAUGAGUUCCAUUCACCUCUCACAUUCUCUAGAACAACCGUUUCGAGUGCGAAUCCAAAGUUAAGCUCUGGGAUUUAACACACGACUAAUUGUACCGCCUACUCACCCUUUACGCCCAAUAAUUCCGGAUAAUGCUCGGGGUACUCGUAUUACCGCUGCUGCUGGCACGAGUUUAGCAACCCCUUAUUCAUGCGGUACCGUCAACGUUCUUCCCGCAUAAAAGAUGUUUACAAACCGAAGCUCUUCAUCCAUCACGCGACAUCGCUCCGUCAGGCUUUCGCCCAUUGCGGAAGAUUCUCGACUGCAGCCCCCCGUAGG
rnacentral:rRNA from 1 species